UGGGGAAUCUUGGACAAUGGGCGCAAGCCUGAUCCAGCGACGCCGCGUGGGUGAUGAAGGCCUUCGGGUUGUAAAGCCCUUUCACCGGGGACGAUGAUGACGGUACCCGGCGAAGAAGCACCGGCUAACUCCGUGCCAGCAGCCGCGGUAAGACGGAGGGUGCUAGCGCUGUUCGGAAUCACUGGGCGUAAAGGGCGCGUAGGCGGCUGGGGCAGUCGGGUGUGAAAGCCCGGAGCUCAACUCCGGAAUUGCACUCGAGACGCCACGGCUGGAGGCCGGAAGAGGAGGGUGGAAUACCCAGUGUAGAGGUGAAAUUCGUAGAUAUUGGGUGGAACACCGGUGGCGAAAGCGGCUCUCUGGUCCGGUACUGACGCUGAGGCGCGAAAGCGUGGGGAGCAA
rnacentral:rRNA from 1 species